rnacentral:rRNA from 1 species
UACGUAGGGAGCAAGCGUUGUCCGGAAUCAUUGGGCGUAAAGCGCGCGUAGGCGGCCCCGUAAGUCCGCUGUGAAAGUCAAAGGCUCAACCUUUGAAAGCCGAUGGAUACUGCAGGGCUGGAGUCCGGAAGAGGCGAGUGGAAUUCCUGGUGUAGCGGUGGAAUGCGCAGAUAUCAGGAGGAACACCAAUAGCGAAGGCAGCUCGCUGGGACGGUACUGACGCUAAGGCGCGAAAGCGUGGGGAGCGAACAGG